AAAUUGAAGAGUUUGAUCAUGGCUCAGAUUGAACGCUGGCGGCAGGCCUAACACAUGCAAGUCGAACGGUAACAGGAAGCAGCUUGCUGCUUUGCUGACGAGUGGCGGACGGGUGAGUAAUGUCUGGGAAACUGCCUGAUGGAGGGGGAUAACUACUGGAAACGGUGGCUAAUACCGCAUAACGUCGCAAGACCAAAGAGGGGGACCUUCGGGCCUCUUGCCAUCAGAUGUGCCCAGAUGGGAUUAGCUAGUUGGUGAGGUAACGGCUCACCAAGGCGACGAUCCCUAGCUGGUCUGAGAGGAUGACCAGCCACACUGGAACUGAGACACGGUCCAGACUCCUACGGGAGGCAGCAGUGGGGAAUAUUGCACAAUGGGCGCAAGCCUGAUGCAG
rnacentral:rRNA from 1 species